rnacentral:rRNA from 1 species
AUAACGACUCUCGGCAACGGAUAUCUCGGCUCUCGCAUCGAUGAAGAACGUAGCAAAAUGCGAUACUUGGUGUGAAUUGCAGAAUCCCGUGAACCAUCGAGUUUUUGAACGCAAGUUGCGCCCAAUGCCAUUAGGCUGAGGGCACGUCUGCCUGGGCGUCACGU